GUGAGGAAUAUUGGUCAAUGGGCGGGAGCCUGAACCAGCCAAGUCGCGUGAAGGAAGAAGGAUCUAUGGUUCGUAAACUUCUUUUGCAGGGGAAUAAAGUGCAGGACGUGUCCUGUUUUGUAUGUACCCUGAGAAUAAGGAUCGGCUAACUCCGUGCCAGCAGCCGCGGUAAUACGGAGGAUCCGAGCGUUAUCCGGAUUUAUUGGGUUUAAAGGGUGCGGAGGUGGUUUGAUAAGUCAGCGGUGAAAGUUUGCAGCUUAACUGUAAAAAUGCCGUUGAAACUGUCGGACUUGAGUGUAAAUGAGGUAGGCGGAAUGCGUGGUGUAGCGGUGAAAUGCAUAGAUAUCACGCAGAACUCCGAUUGCGAAGGCAGCUUACUAAGCUACAACUGACACUGAAGCACGAAAGCGUGGGGAUCAAACAGGAUUAGAAACCCCGGUAGUCC
rnacentral:rRNA from 1 species